CUCGUAUGCAAAAGUUACGGAUGAAGCUUAGAGACUACUUUACUAUAAAACUCCUAUAAAUACAAGGGUGAACUCCUCAUAUUUUCUUCACACCAUAAGCCUUUCUUUCUCUCUCUAACUUCUCUCUAACCUCCCUAAACCCCUCCCAAGUCUAGGGAACCUCCCUAUCACGAGAAGAAAGCCCCGGAGCGCCCGACGGCUCCGAGAAGAAAAGCUUUCGGCUCGGAAACGCUGCUCCAGCGAAGCCCGGUUUUUAAUAAAAACCCGCUGUUUCGUCAAGGGAUAAUUGUUUUAAGAGUAACGAAGUGCUGUCCGAGUGCCGACUCACCACCUUUCAAGUGUUGAUAUGAAGUGACAUUACAUUGAGAGAUUUAAAGAGAUGUAGAUCACUAGUGUAAAUAAUUGUAAGUUCUGUUUAUGCUUAUAUUUCUGUAUUAACGAUGACAUCCCAAACGUUUUAAAAUGAAAUAAAUACGUUUCUUCGAAAAUGUUUUAAUAACGUAUUUACCAUGUUUUUCUGGGAACAAAUUCCGCAACAUUUUUAUAAAAUGAAGUACUCUGAUUUUUAUAAAGCAUAAACAACAUCGGUCUUUUCUGGCCGUGAAAAUGGGGAUGUCACAACAUCCUUCAGAUUUUAUGAUAUUUGAUUUUGGGAUACUCUGAUUCGUGAUUAUAAUUUUUGGAAACUAUGUGUUGUAAACAUUUAUGGUUUUCGGCUUGGUUUUAAAAAUGAAAAAUUUACCUUGAUUUUUUGGAUUUUACAUUUAACUUAUUUUUUAAAAGAGGUAGAUUAAGUUGCAAAGAAGAAGAAAAAUAAAGUAAAAGAGAGGAGAGAAGAUGGAGACUCUGCAGCCACUUGCCAUAGAGGAUGUCUUUGCUCGACAUGUUGAAGCCACAUGAAGGUGUGUGUCGAGGCCACACCCCAACCUCAUGAGUAUUUUUUUUUGUUGAAAUGCAAUACCAAUCACUUUUAGUGAGGUAAGGCUUCUCGAAGUGGACUCGAGAGUUGUCUCGGCUAACCCGACAAACACAUGGCCGAGGAGUGUGUGUGGGUUUGAAUGAUUUGAGCGUUGGAAGGGUCUUUGUGAUUGUUUUUUUUUUCUUCAAAAAAUCCUCGAUUUUUACCAUAUAUAAAUACGACUACAUAUGAUAUUUUAUCACACUUCACUAUCUUCAUUUUUUCACUCAAAACAACACAAUUUUUGUGAGAAAAAUGGCUUCCCUUUCCAACCCAAAAGCUCAAAAAAAAAAUACCAAAAGAAACACUCAAAACCCAACACAUCACACAUUUUCACCAAAUUUCGUUCAAAAUCAAAGUGAUCGGCCAACUUAUUCUCCACCAAAUUUACACUUUGGUGGUGUUUACUACCCAUUUCAAAACAAAAACCAACCCCAAUACCAAAAUCAAGCACAAUACCAAAACCAACCUUAAUACCAAAGCCAACCACAACUUCAAAGACAACUCCAAUUUCAAAACUAGCCACAAAUAAACUUCCCAUCCCAAAUGGAAAAUGACUUCAAUCUAUUUGAUGAUCUUCCCGACUCCCCAAUGAUUUCCAAACUCAAGGGGAAGCCGAAGUCGUCUCUAAAAUGGAAUUGGAGCCAGAAGAGAAUCGACCACAACCCAAAAAAAAGUGGAAGGGCGGCAAGCAAUGAACAUUUUUCAAAUAAAAGGCAUUAGCUCGUGCGUGGAUGGAUGUUUCUGAAGAUACGGUGGUUGGAAACAACCAAGAUUGUCCAACUUUUUUUUCCCAAAAAAAUUACAUGGCGUUUUCUCACAGAGAUGAAUCUUGGAGAGUAUCGGAAAAAGACCAAAUUUAUUCGAAGUAGAGUAAUGUAAACAAAGUGGUGACAAAGUUUAAUGGGGCGUUUUCGAGUGUCAAAUGACAAUGGUGAAGUAGUGCAAACGACGAAACUAUUUUGCAAAAAGCUCUUGAAGUGUACCAGAAUAAAAAAGAGGUCAAUUUCAAUUUUCUACAUGUUUGGAAUAUUUUGGAAUUGUUAAAAAAAUGACAAAAGGUCUUUACGGGUGGUUCUUUUAAUAGAACUAAAACAUCCGGAACGACGCAUAAUCAAUCGUCUGAUGCAUAUAUCGGUAUUGACCUCAAUGAGGAGGAGCAUUUUGAGGCUCCAAGAGUCACUCGUCCCAUGGGAAGAGACCGAGCCAAACGAAAGGGAAAAGCGGCGGCAAGUGGUUCGAGUGACAUCGACCAACUAACAAGCAAAAUGAACAACUUGAAGUCGUCUUUGGAACAAUAUUUGAUGGUUGCACAAGAGAAAGAAAAAAAAAACCAUGCCAUAGCGAUCUUAACGUGAGACAUUAGCACUCUCACCAGACGUGAAAAAGAAGUGCUGAUAAAAGAAAAAGAGGACGUCGUGAAAAAAAUAUAACAUAUUGGUUCCGUUAUUUUAUUUUCAUGGUUUCGUUAUUUAAAUUUCUAGGUUUGUAAUUUGAAAUUCUUGUUCUUUUUGGUGUGUUGUAAUUUUUUUUAAGUUUUGUGAAAUUUAAGAUUUAAAAAACAA